GCGAUGGGAUGGGACACGGUAGAAGCAAUGGAUACGAUGAGAUGCCGUGGAAGGCGAUGGGAGGCGGUGGAUGCGAUGGGAUGGGAUGUGAUGGAUGCGAAGGGAUGCGAUGGAAUGCGAUGAGAUACGACGAGAUGAGAGCCCGGCUCCGCCCGAGAGAGCUCCGGGUGCGGCUGCAAACCUGUGGAAAUCCGAGCCGGCUGCAGCGGGGAGGUUCAGCUGAGGUAACCCCGGGGUGUGCGGAGGAUCAGACCCCACAUCCUGCUCUGGGAUCAUCCCAGCCCCCAGCAGUCACGGGCUGGCACCGAUAACCAGCACCGGGGCUCCAGCCGGGCCUGGAGUUUCUUUUAGUGGAGCUGCCUCACUCUAUUUGAGACCUGGAAAAUCCCCAGCGUGUAGCACAUUAUUGCGUGUUUAGCUAAACUGAUGUUUUUGUGAUUCACGGAGGUCCAGUGCUUCUGCUCUGUGCUAAAUGUGCACACAGGGUUUGGGGGAUUUUUUUGCCACUAACUUGCCAAUCUUCAUUCCUUUCUUCAACAUCAUGCUCAUUUCCCCCUCAUUUUAAUAAAAAGUUUAGAAAUGUGUUGCACAAACCUC